GUCAUACCGGUGUUAUGUUCCUUGAUUUUGCGUCUCUAACACGGUGAGGGUUUAUGGGCCCCUCUUGACAGUUCUCUUUGAAUAAAUCUCUUCCAGCAAGGCUCAAUAUUGGUUUUACCAUUUUCCGAAUAAUAACUAAAACUUGCAUUGGGACUUGCCGGCCCCCAAGGUCCCUUAAUCAACCCCCGGGCCAGUGCUCCACAUGAGUGUUGUUCCACCUACCUAGCAGUUGGCGGUGCCACAUCGGGGCAACUCGAUGAUAUUUUGGCUACCAUCCACUUCGCAUAGACGGUGUUGUCCUGAGAACGAGAUACGCGCGGCUCCUAUCAUGGUAUCGACGCAUCGGGUGGUCUUGCUGGUUUUGUUUUACCAUUGUCGAAAUGUCUUGUGCACUAGGAUUCCAUGUCUGAUCGGAGGGUUUCGCGAUGGAGGAUUGUCUCCGCGGAUCAUGAGCUUGUCAUGGGCUAAGUUCGGACACCCCUAUAGGUUUUAAACUUUUGAGAGUCGUGCCCGCGGUUAUUUGGCAGAUGGGAAUUUGUUAAUAUCCGGUGGUAGUGGACUUGAACUAAACUCAAUUAAAAUACACCAACCGCGUGCGUAACCGUGACUGUCUCUUUUUGGGUGCGUUCGAAAAGAGAACACAGUUGGAUUAUGUUUGAACGUAAGUAGUUCAGGAUCACUUCUUGAUCAUUAAUAGUUUGCGACUGUUGCAUAGUUUCUCAUCUUAUUCUUGUACUCGUAAGUUAGCCACCAUACCAUGCUUAGCCGUUUGCUGCAGCCUCACCACUUAUCCAUUCUAUUUCCAUUUAGCUUUGCUAGUCUUGAUACCCACGGUAAUGGGAUUGCUGAGUCCUCAUGGCUCACAGAUGACUGCAACAACAGUUGUAGGUAUAGGUAAUGCGGAUGAUCUGACGCGAGUGUGAUGCUUGCUUGUUUGGAGUUCUUCUACCUCUUCUUCGUUCAAGGGAUAGGUUCCGGGUCAGGGAACCUGGGAUUAGCAGGGUGGAUGUCGUUCUUCUUUUUUCUUUGAUUUCAUCCGUAGUCGAAUCCUGCUCUUCGGUAUGGUUAUUGCUAUGUAUGGAUGAACUAUUUUAUUGAAUGUUGUAGCUUGUGGCGAGUGUAAGCCUGUAUCUUGUAUUCUCAUCUAUUCAGUACAUGGUAUGUUGUAAUGAUAUCCACCUUGCUAUGCGCUCGAAAUGCGGUUGUGCCCCAAUCAUGAGUUCAUCACGUGAUUGGGAUAGAAUCGCAUCUUGGGAGCUACAGAUGGCCUCCGUCCCCAAGCUCGCUACCAUAGUGUGUGUAGAGGACGAUGACCAUGAGCGAAGCCACUUCCUGCCGACCCUCAGACUAAUCCAUGUCUGGGUUGAAUAAGGAAAGGAAGGGAGAAAGUACUGUCCAAGAGACAAGGCAUCGAACCCGCAUCUAGGUUGAAAAGGGGAAAAUCAGUAGCAAAGGAACGAGUCUCGUGUCUCUUAAUUGAAAAAGGGUAGAAAGGCAUCACAACGCAAUAGAAAAUGACCAGGUCGAUUGGUUUGUUGUCCUCACAUAGGAAAAAGGUGGCUAAAGAGAACAAAAAUGGGACAUAAUCCACAUAUGCUGCCUGGAUAUUUGUGGCUCUGGGCUAACCAUGAAGGAAAAAUGCCCUAGAGGCAAUUAUAAAGUUGUUAUUUUAUAUUUCCUUAUAUCAUGAUAAAUUUUUAUUAUUCA